rnacentral:rRNA from 1 species
UACGUAGGGCGCAAGCGUUGUCCGGAAUUAUUGGGCGUAAAGAGCUCGUAGGCGGCUCGGCAAGUCGGUCGUGAAAUGCCGGGGCUCAACCCCGGGACUGCGUCCGAUACUCCCGAGCUGGAGGCAGGUAGGGGAGAUCGGAAUUCCUGGUGUAGCGGUGAAAUGCGCAGAUAUCAGGAGGAACACCGGUGGCGAAGGCGGAUCUCUGGGCCGAUACUGACGCUGAGGAGCGAAAGCGUGGGGAGCGAGCAGG